GCAAUGGUGGUUCUGUGGUAGAAUUUUCACUUUCUAUGCAGAAGACCCGGGUUUGAGUCCCGGCCAAUGUA
rnacentral:tRNA from 1 species